rnacentral:ncRNA from 1 species
UCUCGGGUGACCGGGCGUCUGGAGGAAGCUGGAAGCAAAACGCUGGCCUGACGAACAGGAAGCGGAUACGAGGCGACACGUUGGGGUGAGGCAGCCAAAAAGGUCAAAGCCCGGUACUUGCACAGACGACGUGGCGUAUAUCCGACAGGCAUAAGCGGGAAGGCAGGUGCG